GUCUACGGUCAUGCCACCCUGAACAAGCCCAAUGUCUGAUCUCAGAAGCAAAGCAGGGUCAGGCCUGGUUAGUACUUGGAUGGAAGACCACCUGAGAAGACCAGGUGCUGUAGGCA
rnacentral:rRNA from 1 species